rnacentral:rRNA from 1 species
UACGAGGGGAGCAAGCGUUGUUCGGAUUUACUGGGCGUAAAGGGCGCGUAGGCGGCCACGACAAGUCACUUGUGAAAUCUCCGGGCUUAACUCGGAACGGUCAAGUGAUACUGUCGGGCUAGAGUACAGAAGGGGCAACUGGAAUUCUCGGUGUAGCGGUGAAAUGCGUAGAGAUCGGCAGGAACACCCAGGGGGAAACCAGCCGCCUGGGCAUGCGCUGACGCUGAGGUGCGAGAGCGUGGGGAGCGAACCGG